CUAUUUGCAUUUCUCUAUUCUGUGGAUUUUAUUGCUCGGUAUAAAUCCCCAGGCUGAGGCACAUUAAGCUUCACUCAGGGAGAAACAGUGCAUUUUAUCAAAGGGCUGGACAGCUACAGGCACGAGAAGUCCCCUGCAGGGAUGGUUGUUUGCCCAGAUGUGCCGGGGAUACGCACAGGGAGAAAGAAAUGCAUACGGGUAUGCAGAUUUUGGUGUGUGCACAUUAAGCCUGGAAGGAUUUUCUUUGGAUCCACAAUCAAAAUGGAUUUCCGAGAAGGAGCUGGUCUGGGCACACGCCUAUUUCAUGUGCUAUACACGGCCCCAUCCCGCCAGUCAUGUCCUCAGGAAAGUGAUUGUGCCUGCUUCGGCUCUGGCUAGAGCUCUUUGGCCCAUGUGGUGGGCAGAAAACUGAAAUGAGGACAGAGAAACGUCUCAGAGACUCGCAGAGGAGUUGAGUCACUCACCAUCUUCCUGCAGGUCUUCUGAAUACUUCUGAGCAUAGGAGCGUCUUCUCCUAAAAGGCAAGUCAGUCGUUGCUGAGAUAAACCACGACACAAGCUUGAGCCAGGGUUAAUAUCAACCAUCGACUGUCCACUGAGCACUGUGUGCCAUGCAGUGUGCUAAGCAUUCUCUCAUUUAAUCCGUACAACAAUCCGAUAUGAGGGAAGUUUUCCAGGUGUGGGAAGUGGAACUAUAUUGGGUAAAGACUAGGCCUAAGUGUUGGACUUUUAGAAGGUAACAGUUUCUGGUUUGGAUUUAAUAAUAUUGUUUCAGUUUUCAUCAUUUUCUUUUUAUGAUAACUUUUGCUGGAUGGCAGUUUCAAAGGUAGAGGAUAAAGUUUUGUUUUAAAACAGAUGCGUUUAAGAUUUUUUUCACUGUAAAUAAUCAUGUUUAUGAAUGUGGCAAAACUCACCUGCAUGGCAUAUGAACCCUAAAGUUUAGGAUACACUGAUUUAAGUGGCCCAGAAGGAAAUAAAAGGAGAUUGGUUUCUCCUAAACUCAUAGAUAUUUGCUAUUUACUGCAGGCUGUGUUCUAACCAAAAGGUAAUAGGUGUCAAGACUAAGUCUGAUUUCCAGUCUUCCGUCUACCCUCACUAGCCGUCAGCCUUAGCCUCCGAGAGCUUUGGUUUUCCCAUCCGUACAGGGGGUAUUAUGAGCAGUUGAGGAUAGCAGGAUAGCUCAGUUCAUUUCCUGAGCUCUGAGUUUGGGCUGGGAGGGAGGGAAGGUAGGGAUGUAGCUUAUAUCCCCAGCAGCCUGGUGGAGAAAUGCACUCCUGAGGCCAAAAAAUCAUGCAAACCCAUCUGGCCGGGCUGGCUUAGCAGCAUGAAGGUCAACAUUCUGUGCACCGGCAGCCUUUCCCCUUCUCAGGCUGCAAAUCUUUGGCAGUCGGAGGCAGGCUCUGAAUUAAGCUUAAUUAAAAUUCACUCUUAAUUAGGGCCAUUACUUAACAUCAACUCUAUGUACUGAAGCUGUGUAAUCAUAAUUAAGCCCCAGAAAUGGAAUUAGGAGGCACAGAAUGCGAAAGCCAAACGUGGAUGGGCCCAGUGCCAGUGGGGACAGUGACAGGACUCCUCAAAUCAAGAGAAAUUCCAAAAAGUCAAGGAGCAAUGAGUGCGUGGACUGGCACAUGCCAGGCUGCCCCAGCGCACAACUCCAGGGGGCACCCUUCAAGUGGUUGUGUCCCAUGGAGGCCCUGAUGCAAACCCCAAUUCCAGAGAUCACCCAAGAGUGAGCUAAUGCCACAUCAGGGGGCUGAACCCCACAUGGCAAAAAUGAGACGCUGGCUCAUGAGGAAACCACUGUCUCUCUCCCAGCUGUGACCUCUCUGUCCUUUAUCUCGAGAGCAUUUGCCUCUAUUUACACUAAAUAGACCCAGCGCUGUUUGCUGGUUUCUGUAUUUUGGGCAAGCGGAGCUGGACGCCCCCGCAGCCGGUCUCAGCAGGUAGCUGUCCUGGUGGUGGUCACGUGGAAGGUCCUGCUCUUCCUACAAAGUUUAGCAAACACCUUAUCUCCCACAAAGUAGGUGAGGUAAUGUUUAUGAAAGAUCACUCUGUCCUCUUCCAUCAGGCUGGGGUGCCAGUGUGACCACCCCGUGCUGGAGGGUGGACUCCUUGCAGCCACCUUGCUUCCCCGUUCUCCCCUCCUGUUCCCUCAUUGGGGUGGAAAACCUCACUGAUGUCCUUCCUCCCUGCAGGUCUUGGGAGAGCAAGACUCUCCAUCCACCAUCCCACUGGCCUUCCUGUCUCUACUUUCCAAGGCACAUUCACGGCCCCCUUGGGAGGGGCUGGGGGUCUCAUCUCACAGAGGAGGAAACUUAGGCAGAGGAAGUAAGGCAUCUUGGCUAGUGUUACAAAGCAGGAAGGUGACAGGGCCGGGGGCCCAGGGUUCUACCUCUUAAAGUCCCUUCUGAACUCCUCUAUUUGUGAUAACUGCUCAUUUAAAGAUUCCUGAGUUUUGACAGGGAUGGAUGGAUGGACGAGUAGCUGACUAUAUAGAUAGAUGGAAAAAAGAAAGCUGGACAAGAGAACAGGUAGGCAGCAAGACAGAGAUAAGACUGUGUAAAUGCGGACGAUUCCUGAAAGAUAUAUAAGAAACCAGGGACAGUAGUGGCCUCUGGAAAGGGAGCAGGGCAUCUAGGAAUCUAGGGGAGAGAGAGAGAAAGGGAGAUUCUUUUUUAUUGUCUUUUUAUCUUUGCUUCCUCUGAAGGGUUGGAAUAUUUUUCAUGUGCACAUAUUGAUUUAAAAUAAUGUCUCUUUCUACUUUUUUUGGCCAUCUUUGCCCCUGUGCAUCUGUCUAUAGGGGAGGUCUGACACUCUAGAAAACUUGCAGGAGGUCCCUAGGGGGAGCGCUCAAAGUUGUUUCCUCGUCAGAAACCGGCUCCACUUGAUGAGUCCAGGCCAUCGGCUUUCACAGAUCCACGGGCAGCUCAGGCUUAGACUGAAAAGGGCACGAGCAGAUGGAAGAAAAUCUACAUUUUCAUGAGAACCAAAGGAGAAAUGAAUCUGUUUGAAAGAACAUCAGAGGAAGAUAGACUCAUCCCUCCGUGUCAGAUCUGGCAACAUUGUCCACCGUCUUCCAGUUCGUGUCUCUUGGUGCAGGGGUUCCUUCCGCAGCACUGCUGGGCGAUUCCCUCGACGCGAGUGUGACAGGCGGUGCUGGUUUGCACCAGCUGGGCGGACGGAGGCUCAGGACGCAUGGUAGUGGGGUGGGGAAGAACACGGGGUCAGGGAGAGCCCCAAGGACCUCUGCAAUGAAACCCAAGAGGAAUGUGCAGACUGCCCACAGGCCAAGGAUGGAAGUCUGGGGGAGCAAGAGGAAAGCCAUGGAGGUUUGGCAAGGAGAAUGAGGAAAUCAAAGCAAGGGGAAAAUUCUGUCCAUGGACCUCCACUCUUUCCAAAACUGGUUACCUCCUUGGGAGAGGCUUAAUACUGACUGUUUCUGUCUUACCUUCUGGUCAACUGUCUUUUUAAGGGAUCUACGUAAACCCAACUAUAUCUCAUCCCACCUCAUUCCUUUCUAUUCUGUUUGCCCACUCUGUGCCAGGCACAGUGCUCAGCACAGGAGGGCAGAUAAGAAGCCUGGACGAGUGUGCGUUGGGAUAAGGAAGAAACGAGGCGAACAUAUUAGGUGUCACAUGUGGUCCUAGAGGCAGGUGCAGCGUGGUGGCUAAAGAGGCAAGGUGGGCAGAAGAGGAGCAGGUACUGAGCUGGGUCUUCAAGGACAUUGUGAGCAGAUCCCGGUGGGUCUGAGAGAGGAAGGAUGUACCCAUGGCAUUCCUGGUAGACUGCAGCACCUGGGUUGCAGGUGUGCGUGGGGAACACCCGGGCAAUGAGGCUGCGAUGCAGGUGGGCGGCCCCCAGGGGCCUUGACUGACCCGCUGAAGGGCCUGUAGUGAGGGUCCUGGCAAGAGGAAGAGACAGGUCUGAUUUGUCUCUGGCAGUGGGUGCCCUGUGGGCCCAGGAUCAGGAGCCAUGUUGGGCAAUAUGGAGAUAGGACCCUGCUCUCCUCUGCAUCACAUCUUCAGUUUGGGGGGAAGAAAUUCUAAAUUUAUCAUUUAUCUGGUGACUCUGGAAAAGCAGAUAUCUGGGUGCUGAGAAAAUCCAAUCAUUCAUUCAUUUGUUCAUCCACUCGGAACAGUUCUUGUGCAUUUGUUUAUAUUCAUACUACUGACAUUUCUCGGGGGGGGGGGGGUCACACAGAGUGGUAAGACGUGGUUCUAAUGUCAAGAACCUUAGAACUAGAAGGAGUGAGAUUACUAAAUCCAUGGUGUCAAUGCACAGACUGAGCUGGACACAUCACUUCCCCAUCACCAUUUAAAACACUUCAAUAAAAAUAAAAAACAAACAACAACAACAACAACAAAACCCAUUUCAAUAGAAAAACACAAACCAGGCCAAAGUACCCCUGCAUGACCUGCCCCCACUCACCUCCUGAGACCCAUCUCCCACCACCUCCCUCCUUCACCUUCAACCACAGGCCCUUCACACAUGCUGCAUGAACAUGAACACGUCUGCUGCAGUCAUCUCCCGUAGUUCUUGUCUGCUUUUCCUUCUGUGCUCAGAUCAGUGUUGCCUCAUCAGGGAAGGCUUUUCCAGUCUGCCUGGAUGGACUCUGUCCUUACAACACCCUCUCAUCCUCCGUGUAACUUCCUUCGUAAUGCUUAUUCCAAUGACAAUUAUUUUGCACUUAUUUAUGUGAUAACUUUAAUAUUUGUAUUCUCCACCAGACUGUAAGCUCCAUAAGAGCAAGGACUGUGUCUUUUAAAAAAGUCAGCUUCACUGAGAUGUAAUUUUUUGUGUGUGUGUAACAAACACCCCCGUUAUACACGGUGCAUGACAGCGAGUGUUGACACAUUUUUACCAAAAAUGUAGACACUUGUGUAACCACCACCACUGUCAAGUUAGAGGACAGUUUCAUCACCCCAAAAAGUCUUUCUGUGUUGCAUCCCAGUCAGUCUGCCCCCCGCCCCCGGCAAUCACUGCUCUGCUUCCUGUCUCUAGUGAUUUGUCUUUUCUAGUGUUUCAUGUAAAUGGAAUCAAACAGUAAGAAUUCUUAUAACUACUCUAUCCAAAAUGGAUAAACAACAAGGUCCUACUGUGUAGCACAGGGAACUGUAUUCAAUACAUCGUCAUAGCCUAUAAUGAAAAAGAAUAGAAAAGUGCAUAUAUGUCUAUAUAUGUCUAACUGAAUCCUUAUGCUGUACGUCAGAAAUUGACACAACACAGUAAACUGACUAUACUUCAAUUAAAAAAAAUAAUUCUUUUGUGCCUGGCCCCUUCAA